UCACUUAUUAAUAAAAAAAAGUGCCUGUAAGUAGGUCAGUUAUUAAGUAAGCAAGUUAUCAAGUUAGUAGGGGGUGUAUCCUGGAGCAUAAACACCACAAUCUUGUUUACUUACAGCUUUACCUGUGUACAAUAAUGACGUCAUUUUCCAUUAACAGAAGUCAAAAGACAUGGGAGCUUCUGAGGCCCAAUCAACAUCCCACAUGAGAGGACGUCAUAGGAAGGAGACACAAGGAAAGACUCCUCAAAGUGCUGCUCAAUCACAGAUAACUGCAUUGUAGGGAAAACCAGAAACAGAAGUGGUGGUUUCAGUGGUCCCUUCUCAAGUGAAAGGAAACAACUUCGUAAUCCACCAGUGAGCUGCUUACACUUGAACCUCACACCUGGCUCACAGGCGAGGUCAUCCUCUGCCUCAAAGUGAAUGCGUUACAUUUGGGAAGUUCUAUCUAUAUUAUGAGUUACUUCAUGACAGGUGUUGUCCUCUUUGGGGAUAGAGUAAGACUCAGGAGGCAUAGUUUGUCAAAGGGUGUGUAUGGUUGGGGUUGAUUAAGGAAGGUGCAAAUAAGAAGGCAGGAACUGCCCGGCUCUCAUGUCUCUCUCUCCUUGGCUCCUGAGAGUCACGACAGAAUGUCUAUUCCCUAUCAAUGUUGCCUGAGUAACCUGGUAGAGUGUUUAUCCCAUUAUCGUGGCUUUUGUUCAUUGUGUUAAGGGAUCCUGUGGCUUUGGUGGUAGAGGUAUAUCAAUGCAGAAACCAGCAAAGUGUACUUGGUAGAUCCAUCACAGGACUCUGCAGAGCAGGCUGACUCAGACCUGGCAGCAAAAAGAUUCCGUGAGUUCUUUAAAAUGAGGAGGACCUGCCACAACAAGAGCGACUGGGUGGAUGUGAAAUUCAGAGGAGGAGUUAUGCAACAGCCAGUUCAGCAGGACGGAAACAGUUGUGGGGUUAUAGUUAUCAUGAUGGCAAAGGCAGUCAUGGAGGCAUUUCCAGAACUCCCCAACAAAAGACAUGGCACUUGAACACAGAGCCAUGGCUGAAACAAUGCUUGAAGCAUCGGUGUUUAACACAGAAAGCAACUGUGCCAAAACACCCACUCCAGGACCUUCCAUCACAGACUGGAUUCAGUGUGACAGCUGUUCAAGAUGGUUCCACGCAGAGUGCCAUCAGAUGGACAGCGCAAAAUUUCAAGACGUAAACACUGCGGAGUGGGAUUGCAAUUUGUGCAAAGAAAAGAAUCCAUACAGGAGAGACAAUUAGCAUAACCAUUUAGCCACCAAUA